rnacentral:rRNA from 1 species
CCUACGGGUGGCAGCAGUCGAGAAUCAUUCACAAUGGGGGAAACCCUGAUGGUGCGACGCCGCGUGGGGGAAUGAAGGUCUUCGGAUUGUAAACCCCUGUCAUGUGGGAGCAAAUUAAAAAGAUAGUACCACAAGAGGAAGAGACGGCUAACUCUGUGCCAGCAGCCGCGGUAAUACAGAGGUCUCAAGCGUUGUUCGGAAUCACUGGGCGUAAAGCGUGCGUAGGCGGUUUCGUAAGUCGUGUGUGAAAGGCGCGGGCUCAACCCGCGGACGGCACAUGAUACUGCGAGACUAGAGUAAGGGAGGGGGAACCGGAAUUCUCGGGGUAGCAGUGAAAUGCGUAGAUAUCGAGAGGAACACUCGUGGCGAAGGCGGGUUCCUGGACAUUAACUGACGCUGAGGCACGAAGGCCAGGGGAGCGAAAGGGAUUAGAUACCCGUGUAGUC